CCCUGGUGACCGAUAGCGAACAAGUACCGUGAGGGAAAGGUGAAAAGCACCCCGAUGAGGGGAGUGAAAGAGACCUGAAACCGGAUGCCUACAAGCAGUCGGAGCGGCCGAUCUGCGCGCGUAGCAAUACGCGCGCCAGGGGUGCCGUGACGGCGUACCUUUUGUAUAAUGGGUCAGCGAGUUUCUGUUGGCAGCGAGCUUAAGCCGUUAGGUGUAGGCGCAGCGAAAGCGAGUCUGAACAGGGCGAAAGGGUUCCCAUCGCGUUCGCGCGAUGGGGGUCCGUCAGUUGCCGGCAGAAGACCCGAAACCGAGUGAUCUAGCCAUGGCCAGGCUGAAGGUGGGGUAACACCCACUGGAGGGCCGGACCCACGCCUGUUGAAAAAGUCGGGGAUGAGCUGUGGCUAGGGGUGAAAGGCCAAUCAAACUCGGAGAUAGCUGGUUCUCCGCGAAAUCUAUUGAGGUAGAUCGUCAUGUGUUUGCCCCGGGGGGUAGAGCACUGGAUGGGCUAGGGGGUCCCAAAGACUUACCAAACCUAACCAAACUCCGAAUACCCGGAAGCAUAGCGUGGCAGACAGACGGCGGGUGCUAAGGUCCGUCGUCGAGAGGGAAACAGCCCAGACCGCCAGCUAAGGUCCCCAAAUCGUGGCUAAGUGGGAAAGGAUGUGGGAAUUCCAAAACAACCAGGAGGUUGGCUUAGAAGCAGCCAUCCUUUAAAGAAAGCGUAAUAGCUCACUGGUCUAUUAGAAAUCCUGCGCCGAAGAUGUAACGGGGCUCAAGCCACGUACCGAAGCUGCGGAAUCAGCGUGCAGUGGUCAGCUGUCAGCGGUCAGGAGGAAGCAAGUGAGUGGCGGUGUGGAAGGUCUGAAGGCUUUCCAGCUUGCCUACUCGCUGUCGCUCGAGGUGCAUCGGGCGAGCCUGUCCUGGCCGAAAAGUCGAGCAAUAUGGCGGCGUCGCCGAUCAGGUGCGGCGCGCGUCCAAGGCGAUCUGUGCCCUCAUGGUCGAGGGUUCCGGUCGUCGCCGUGCCUCGCAGGCGGAGUUCCGGCGCUAUCUGGUGAUGGCGCUGGCCUCGGCGGACGAGGCGCGGCUGUGGUGCCGCUAUGCCGAAGAUCUCGGCUAUGCGGCGCCCGACAACGCUGCAGCGUGGCGUGCCGCCUUCGAGGAGGUUGCGCGCCUGUUGCAGGGAUUGCUCGCACGAUCGGAUCAGGGCCGGGAGGCUUCUUCUCCUGACCGCUGACCGCUGACCCCUGACGGCUGAUUGGUAGCGGAGCGUUCCGUAGGCCUGCGAAGGGUGGGGGUGAUCCUGCCUGGAGGUAUCGGAAGUGCGAAUGCUGACAUGAGUAGCGACAAACAGAGCGAGAA
rnacentral:rRNA from 1 species